GCUGGUGAGUGGGAUGGUGGGUUAAAGAAGUAGAAGAUAAAAUAUAAGAUAUAGUUGGGACAAGCUUAAGUAUGGCUUUGGACUCCUUAGUAAGGACUGCAGAUUUCUGAAUGCUGUGAGAAGCGCUUGGAGAGUUGAGCAAAGGAAAAUAUGAUCUGACUUAUUUUAUAAUGAAUGCUUUAGUUGCUGAAUAAAGAAGAUGGUAGGAGAGGUAAAUGUGGAGCCAGAGUGCCCAGUUAGGAGGUUAAGUCCAUAGGAAGGGUAAUGCUGGCUUCAACUAGGGAUGUGGCAAUAAAUUAGUGAGAAGUGAUCUAAUAAAGGAUUUAUUUUAGAGUUAGAUAUUAUCACAUUUGCUCUUGGAUUAGCUCUUGGUUGUACAAUGUGAAUGAAAGGAAUCAAAGAUGCUUUGUAUAUUUUCGGCUUAAGCCAUUGAGUUACUGUUUAUUAAUUUUUUAAUCUUGGGGAUAAGUCACUUUUGGGAAGAAAAAUCAAGACUUAGGACAUGUUAUUUCAAGACUAUCAGCUAUUCAAGUGGGGAUGUCAGUUAGGCAUUGUUUAUAUAAAUUUGAAGUCCAAGAAGGGGUUCCAGGCUAGGUAUAUAAAUUUGAGAGUAAUCAACAUGUACUGAUAGAUUGUAUAUUCAAAUUAUGAGCCCACAUGAGCUUCCCUAGGACUAUGACUAUGGAUACAGAAGAGAAGAGAUCUGCCUACUGUGCUCUGUGUUCCCUCAAUGUUGAGGUCUGGGAGAGAGAGAAGACAAGCCAACAGGGGGAACUGUGACAGGGUGGCAGGAAUCAGGAUUAGACAGUAUCCUAGAAGCCACGUGAGGAAAGCGUCUCCUGCAGAAGUGAGUGAACUGUGGUCGACUGUGUUAAAUACCAUGGCUGGCCAAGCAAGGUAAAGUUGAUUCUUAAAUCAACCUCUGCAUGUGACAAUUGAGAGAUCCCUGGUGGCCUUAACAAAAGCAGUUUCCGGGGCAUGUGGAGAAGAAAAAAAUCUGCUUUGGCAUGUGUCCAGGGGACAAUAUGGCAAGAGGAAGUGGAGGGAGACAGCAAGUAUGGGUGGCUGUUCUCAGGAGUUUAGCUCUAAAGAGGAGUAGAGAGAUGAAGCUGUAGCUUGAGUAGUCAACAGACUUUUAUUAGGUUUAGGAGAUGCAGUAGCUGAAGGAAGGACCCAGCAGAAGGGAAAACAUUAGUGGGUCUUGCCCCGUCGGUUAUCUUCUUUCUCCAUUGCACCCCACACUCCCAGUGUCUCCUUUGGUUCUUACUCUUUUAUUUACUCAGUUUAUUAAUAUGUAUAAUCUUCCUUUCUUUUAAUUAAGUGAAAUCUCAGGAGCUUCAGAACCAGCCCAUCCUGAGUUCAGAGUUGCCUUCUGCCACUUUCUUGGCUGUGUGACUAAAUCCCUUUGAGCCUCCUUAUUUUCAUCUGAUAAAAUGUGGGAAAUAACCCCAAAGAGUCUAUUGUGAAAAUUAAAUGAGAUAAUGACUAUAAGAAACUUAGCACCUAGUUUUUAAACUUGAUCUUAGCCAAAAGGCCAAGAAGCAAUUAGUGCCUAGUUUUUAAUAGGAGUGCCACAAAUGUGAGUUAUCCUAUGAAAGAGCAGGGCAGGGAGGUUUAAUUAAUUAAUUAAUUUUUUUAGAGGUGAUGUCUCACUCUGCCACCCGGGCUGGAGUACAGUGACACAACCAUAGUUUACUGUAGCCUUGAACUCCUGGCUUCAAGCAAUCUUCCCAUCUCAGCCUCCCAAUGUGCUUUAUAGGGAUUACAGGUGUGAGCCACCACCAUGGCCAGCUGGUAGGGGGGUUUAACUUGAACUUCCUCAUCCCAAAGUAAAUUUGUUUUCUAACCUCUUGUCUAAAGAAUUUGAAAAAGUAGUAUCUAUACAAUGAUUCUUCUCUGCUUCUCAUUUGCUCCUCAACCCUUUGCAAUCUGCACCCUCACCACUCUACAGAAACUGUCCCAACGGUUACUUUUCAGUCCUCACCCUGGGUCACGUCUCUAAAACCUGUGAAAGUUUUCACUCUUUGCUUUUCGUCCCUUGGCUUCUAGGACACAAUGCUCUUUUGUUUUUCCUCUAUCUUUUCUGACUCAAGGAAGGUCUAAAACAUAUGGGUUCAAAUUGUGCUAUAGCUGGAACCUGAGCAACGCCAUUUUAUAAAAGACAAAAGCUGUUUUCCAAAAAAUAAGUUACCCCAUUCUCCUCACAAUGACUGCUAACCUUGGCUUCUGUAAAUAAGACUGCUAGUUUACUUUGCAGAAUGCAAAGAGGUAGAACUGCUUACCUUCUCUUAUCGGUAACUGCCAGAGUUGCUAGCCUUUACUUACCGGUAAUAACCAGAAUAAGCAGCCCAAGUUAAUUCCAUCCUGGCUCCUGCAACUUGACUCAAAUAAGUAACUAAAGAUCUGUGGAUUCUAAUCCUGCUCAGACAAUGUAUAAACUAAUGUUUAUCUUGACUUCUGUAAACCACUUAAGUAACAAUUGGAAUGACAAAAGUCUCCUGGCCCUUGGAAUGUCCGGAGCCGCCCCCUCACCCUCUUCUGGGCCCAGGAGAUGAGUUACAGUAUCCACUAGCCCUCGAAAUGUCUGAAGCCCUUCAUCCCCAUCCCCGCUCCUCACCCCCACUCCCAGGGUGGUUUUACGGGUAUAAAAAGGUCUUGUCACCCUUCUUUCUCUGCCAUGGGUUGGAGAGACGUGAGUCCUCCGUGGUCGCCGGCAAUAAACCCUGCAAUUUGGCAUACUUUUGUCUUGGUGUUGACUUUCUAUGCUCGGUCUGGUAUAACAAAAUCAAGGCAUUUGGGCAACCUGGGAAGACCCAAAGUUUUCUGUUCUUUAAAACUGUUUUAGUUUGAAUGUUACCAGUAUUGUGUUGUGGCUAAGAAAGAGGGCUCUAGAUUUAGACUCCCUGUGUUUAAAUUUUAUCUCUUGCACUCUCACUUACCUAUAAAAUGGGCAUCAUAAUAUCUACAUCAUAGGAGAGUUGUAAGGAUUCAUUGUUAGUCUAUGUAGUGUUUAGACAGUGCCUGGAGUAGAACAAGUGUUAGUGAUGAUGUUGAUAAUGACCAUGAUGAUGGCGGUGAGGAUGAUGGAGAGAGGGAAAUGAGUACUGACUAUGUAGGAUUAAAGGCAAAAAAGCCUCCCAGCUUCUACCACCCCAGCCCUACCCCAAGCAGUUCAGCUUUAGCUCCAAACCUACAGAGUCUACUCAGCAAAACAAAAGCAAUGUAGUUAAUCUGACCUCUCUUCCUAGGAGGGCACUUUGUGACUCUUUAGAGAGCAUGUCCUUUAGAGGUAUCAUUUUUUUCCCCAGUGGGCUAUCCAAGUAUUCCAUUUCAGUCAUAUAUGGUAAGACCCUCGAAAGGAGUAUUUGAUAAAUACAUUUUUCUCCAUUGAUAUGGUUUGGCUGUGUUCCCACCCAAAUCUCAUCUUGAAUUGUAACUCCCAUAACUCCCACAUGUUGUGGGAGGGACCCAGCAGAAGACAAUUGAAUCAUGGGGGAGGUUUCCCCAUACUGUUCUUGUUACCACAUACUGUUCUUGUGGAAAAGUCUCACAAAAUCCGAUGAUUUUAUAAGGGGAAAUCCCUUUCACUUGGCUCUCAUUUCUUUUUGCCUGCUGCCAUACGUGUAAGACAUGACUUGCUUCUCCUUGCCUUCUGCCAUGAUUGUGAGGCCUCCCCAGCCACAUGGACCUGUGAGUCCAUUAAAUGUCUUUCCUUUAUAAAUUACCUAGUCUCAGAUAUGUCUUUAUUAGCAGAAUGAGAAUACACUAAUAUAUCCCUUUUAUUGCACUGGCUUGGAUAUUUUAUCAACCAGUGGUGCCUGCUGACCCAGAGAGCUGCCCUGGAUGAAUAGCCUCCAUAGUCCAACUCAAUUCUGACAAUGUCAUAGUUUGUUUCAAUGGUUCUUCUCUGCUUGACUACCUCUAAAUGCCUUUUUGCUUCUAAAUAUUGAUGUUUGCUAGAAUGUCAUUUUUCGCUCUUUUGUCUGCUUAUCUAAAUUUGGUGUUCUAGACAGUACAUGUAGAAGUUUCAAGUGGCCCAUGAAUCCCGGAAAUUACAUGCAAGACUGGGUAUAUAUGUGCAUUUUUCUGGGAGAGGACGCAUGUUUUCAUCCAUAUUCCCAAAGGCAGCUCAAGAAUGAAAAGCCAAGCUAAUCCAAGUGUGAUUCAUUUUCAUGAGCCUUUGGGGUCUUUGCCAGUCCUGUUUUGUAGAUUGGAUGAGUUAAUCUCUUCCUUUUGGUGAGAUGAAUAGCUUUCUAAAUCUAUAUGAAAUAAAAGAUAUCCCCCUUUGGGCAAAAACAUGUCAAUACUUCCUGUGUAACCCUUCAAACCUUCUCCUGGCCAGGGGAAGCCUGACUUUCAUAUUCAAGUAGUAUACAUAUGUGAUUAAUUGUAUACAUUUCUGUUUAUCUAGCAGGAUUAUGUAAUUCUUAUGUGGCAUAACUAAAUUUUGUUUAUUUUUACAUCCCUCAGUGCCUAGUCCAGUGCUUGGGACCUGGUAAGUGCUCUGUAAAUACUGAUUGGACUGCAUUUUAUAUUCCUCAAUUAACAAUGAAACAAUAUAGCCCAAACAUGCUGCAUUUAUAAGUAUUUAGCAUACCAGGAUAUAUUAUGAAUAUGUAUAGCAAAAAAUGCUAUUGAGACAGAAAUUCCUGAGGGAAAUAUAUAAAUAUCACCCUAUUUCUUUCACAGAAAAAAAAAAUACAGAAUCAGGUUUUUCCACCAUUAAAUAAAUAUUCAUCCUUUAUCCCUCCAGGGGGGUCCCAAGCUUCCUGCAGUGAAAUGAGUCCUAAAUGUUCCCAGUAAAUCACUCUGAUUGUUUUUACCCGGUAGACAGAAUGGAGAUCUUAGUUGAUUUUUUUCUUCUGACAGCCUAACGAUUCAAAUAACUUAAGAUUUUUAAUGCCCAAGACUAGAGGAGGACAUGGUAAAAUCGUUCCCGCACCACUUCCUGUUUAGGAAAACGUGCCCAUGGGGAAGUUAAUAGCCACUUCUUGGGAGCAAAAGGCCCUACAACCACCCAAAAGGGCAAAAAGCCCAGCUCUCUGAACUAACAAUGCUGCCACUGCUCACAACAAGGAAAUUGCAAAUCACUGCAGGGUGGAAGCUGAGCCUGCUUAACGUACCCUGAGAGGUCCUGGUUCCCAUAAUAAGUAUUUUUUAAGAUAGGGGAGGCAUCAAUUUCAAUGACCAAAAGUGCUAGAUGAGUAAAGGUUGAUCCCAAUGGGGUUGCAGGCCUAGCUUCCAUUCCUCCAAUUGACUCUCUUCUUUCUCCACACCUAGCGGCACCCCUGACCCCAUCUCAACAUUGGUCCUAGGGAAACCUGGGUUAGGGAAUAUACUUGACUUGGUACAAAUCCACUAUGGCCAGGCAAAAGGCAUAUAAACAACACCCUACUUACCGUGUAUGGAGGACAGAACAACUGAGAGUGCCAAUGGCAACAAAUGAUGCUGCAGGCAUGACAAUGGGCCCUCGUGUGCCCUUUUCCUUAAGGGUAAUUAAUUGUUCGGAUUCAUACCUGAAAGCAGGCAUCCUACUGAAACAAGUAGCUGAUGAUCUAAGACAAGGCCAGCCUUGCUUGGCUCAGAGAUACCUGAGUGUGUCCAUCUUUUCAGGUAAAUUAACUUGACUGGCGUUAGGAUUUCAGCUCAAAAGGCAGAGAUUUGGAGCAAUCUACAGUAUUAUACAGUUUGUGCAUGGCAGGCAGUAGGGGGAGAGUAAAUAAUACCUGCAAAAGAAGAAAAUGCAGGCAUUUGAUUCAAGUGGCAGCAAGCUUACCACUUACGCAUGUUAAUAAAAUGCGAUGGAGUGAUUUGGUUAAGUCCCUCUACCCACACCACUUUAUUGUUCUUUUUUAACUUAAAUCAAUUUCUUAGAGCUAAAGGGCACGCAGGUUAGCAAAAACAGCAGGAAAUUGCUUGAUAUCGUUUUUUAUUUUCUAUUUUUAAAUCUGAAGUAAAUAGGCCAUAUAGUUCUUCCCUGACAUAACAAAACAUAAAAUGGCCCCAUCUGUGAUGAGGCAGAACCAGGGCUGCCUUGCCUGGGAAAAGUUUUGAAAUUUCUGAGAAAAACCCAUAUAUUGAAGUUGUAAGCUGUGAGGUUGAAGCCUUGCAAAUAAUCUGCAGUUUACUGUAGUUACUCAAAGCAGUCAGUUUCUAACUGGGGGCCAAGGGAGCUUCCUUGUUUUACAGAUGGAUAAACUGAGGCAUAGAGUUUAAAGACCGGCUCUUUAGAGUUUAAAGCCAUGCGAUGUCACUGAUAGAGACUCCCUCCUGGGAGGAAAAAGGCAAAAGAGCCUCUAUCCAGCAGAGGCUAGUAUAACCUCAAAGAAAUCUAUCUGAAGAUGAGGAAGCACCACUAACAACCAAAAAAUAAAAGAUCUGGAAGGCCGUCAUGGGAGGAUCACUUGAAGCUAGGAGUUCAAUACCAGCCAGGGAAACAGAGAGAUAACCUGUCUCUACAAAAAAUACAAAAAAUUAGACAGGCAUGGUGGCAAGUGCCUGUAGUCCUAUCUACUCAGGAGACUGAGGUGGGAGGAUCACUUGAGCCCAGGAGUUCAAGGUCACAGUGAGCUACAAUUGAGUCACUGCACUCCAGCCUGGAUGACAGAGACAGACAAUGUCUCAAAAAAAAAAAAAAAAAAAAAAAUCUAGAAUAUAGGCAGGAAUCAGCAUAACUGGGAAGCAAAUUAACCUUGACCUGGGACUUCUCCAAAUGAGUUUGCACAGCUGUCUCAAUCCAUGUAAAUCUCUUGUUAUAUAAACUCACUCACUUGAUCAACAGACGGGGGAGUCCAGAUGUUCGGGGAUAGAGCUCUCAGGCACCCAGCUUCCCCAGCUUUGAAUAUGCCAACACUGUCUAAAAGGAAGCUGAGCAAAACCCAAACAAACAAAACCAACACACAAAUACCAAAAGCAAACCCAAACAAAAUCCCAACCAAACAUGUUACAAACAACUAAGGAUAUUUUGUAAAGCAAUUAACUGACUCAUGACACUCUUGUCUCCCUGGCUCAGAUUUCUGAGAGUUUUAAAAAACAGUGCCAAACAAGGAAGUACCACUGCUUAAUUAGGUCUUGCCAAUUAUUUUGCCUGAUUUUACUUUUUUUCUACCUCCUUGCUCCUUUGCAGUGACACGGUGGGCUUCCGGUAGCUUUUCCCACCAGCACCCUGUAUCAGGUAGUGGACUUCCUGGACAAGCUCUACACUACCUUUGGGAAAAUUAUAUACCAUUAUGAUGUCUACAACAUAGAGACAAUAGGAAGUACAUGUGAGUGACUGUCGAUGUAUGGGUGGGUAUUGUAAGGUUUAUUGCCGAGUUAAAUGAGGAAACGGAGACCAGAGUAAAAAGGUAAAAGCCAAUUUAUUCAGCUCCUGGGCGAGGUUCUAUGGUCCGGGAAAGGGGCCAGAGAAGUCGCACUUCCCUUCUCUUCUUAGGGCGCGGCGUUGUAUAGGGAGUGGAGGUCGUUGAUUGGCUGCGGGGGAAACAAAGCGGAGGUAGUCUCAUUGGUUAUGAAGGGACCGGGCACGGACGAGGCGAGCCGCCAUUGGCAGUCAGGCGGGGCUGCUGGCAAGUGGGCUGGCUGAGGACGUACGGGGCAAGCUGCCAUAGGGCAGGUCUUGGCGGAAUUUUUAAAUUUUAGCAGGGCCAAGUGCCUAGUUUGCUAAUAAGUGCAGGACUGAGAUUGGAAGGCGGAAAUGGGUGUGGGGAGCCCGCGUGGAGAGGCCAGAUGCUGAGUAAUGCUCUCAGAAUGAUGACGUAGUUUUCAGUUUUGUCACACAUCAUGUGAAGCUUCUGGUGUGUAUUAUCACAGCACUGGACAACAAUGCCUCGCACAGUAGAAUAACAUAAUGGUAUACUUGCAUCAAGGACGGUUUUAAAGCACGCUCUGAAAAUCCACUGCAGUUCAAGUGCAUAUCAAAUCCUGGAGCAAAUUGGAGACUACAUACUGGCAUGUCUUAGGAAUGUGCAAGUCAAGUGGUUGACCCUCAAUUGGGAAAGAGAGAGAAUGAUACGAAGAAGUUUGAAAUGGUUCCAAGAAGUCAGAAAGUAACUUUUCCAACCGCCAAACCAUACCUGACUCUGCAGGCAUCUUUCUUCAGAAAAU